rnacentral:rRNA from 1 species
AGUGAACGCUGGCGGUAGGCCUAACACAUGCAAGUCGAACGGCAGCACAGUAAGAGCUUGCUCUUACGGGUGGCGAGUGGCGGACGGGUGAGGAAUACAUCGGAAUCUACUUUUUCGUGGGGGAUAACGUAGGGAAACUUACGCUAAUACCGCAUACGACCUACGGGUGAAAGUAGGGGAUCUUCGGACCUUGCGCGAUUGAAUGAGCCGAUGUCGGAUUAGCUAGUUGGCGGGGUAAAGGCCCACCAAGGCGGCGAUCCGUAGCUGGUCUGAGAGGAUGAUCAGCCACACUGGAACUGAGACACGGUCCAGACUCCUACGGGAGGCAGCAGUGGGGAAUAUUGGACAAUGGGCGCAAGCCUGAUCCAGCCAUACCGCGUGGGUGAAGAAGGCCUUCGGGUUGUAAAGCCCUUUUGUUGGGAAAGAAAAGCAGCAGGUUAAUACCCCGCUGUUCUGACGGUACCCAAAGAAUAAGCACCGGCUAACUUCGUG